rnacentral:rRNA from 1 species
UACGUAGGGUGCGAGCGUUAAUCGGAAUUACUGGGCGUAAAGCGUGCGCAGGCGGUUUGUUAAGCCAGAUGUGAAAGCCCCGGGCUCAACCUGGGAACUGCGUUUGGUACUGGCAAGCUAGAGUACGGCAGAGGGGGGUGGAAUUCCACGUGUAGCAGUGAAAUGCGUAGAGAUGUGGAGGAACACCGAUGGCGAAGGCGGCCAUCUGGGACAACACUGACGCUGAGGCACGAAAGCGUGGGGAGCAAACAGG